AACGCACAUUGCACCCUCUGGUAUUCCAGAGGGUAUGCCUGUUUGAGUGUCAUUAAUAUAUCAACUCUAGCAAAUUUAUUUUUUGCUUGAGGUUGGAUGCUGAAGAUUGCUGGCUUUGGUUGGCUUCUUUUAAAUGCAUUAGCAGAUCUCUGUAGAAUUGGCUUCAGUUUGAUAAUUGAUUUUAUCUCUGCUGUUGUUGAGGAUCGCUGGAUCAGCUUUCUAAUUGUCCUUGAAAGGACUGUCUCAUUCAUGAGGCAUAUAUUUGACUCUGACCUCAAAUCAGGUAGGACUACCCGCUGAACUUAA
rnacentral:misc_RNA from 1 species